AAAAUCGGGAAGGACAAAAAAAAAAAAAAAGAAACUAUCAAUCCAUAGGAAACAGGGGUCUUGGAUUUUUAGUCUGCAUAGUGCAGUAGUGGCUGCUAUAUGGUGUGACUCUUGGUUGUGAUUGAAACAUGUGAUGAUACACCUUUAGCAUCACAACUUCCCCAUGGAUGGUGUGCGCAUGGCGGCACCAUUAUUUUCUGUUAUUGAAUAGAGUCCCUAAUUUUGACGAUAUUAAACAUUGAAUCAAGGGGAAGCAUUUCACUGUUUAUGCUUCUAUUGUUUGCGGUUACCCUUACUCUUUCUACAAGUGUAUGAUAAUAUUCACAUGUGAAUUUACAUGUUUGCCUCGGUCAAUCACAAUUCUUUUAGAAUCCUUCACCUAGUUAUAUUAUGUUUUGAUUCUUUGAAUCAUUGGAUAUAUCUUUUGGAUUUUGCAAAUUUGUUUGCUUUCUUCAUAGCAUAUGUUUAGAACUUGCUGAACAAGUGACAUUAGUGACAAGUUCUUUUGGAAGGGGCCAAGAAUAGGGGAACGAUUAAGCCUGUGGGUAUCCGUAGGUUGCUUUAUGAUGGGUGUUUCAAUAAUCUUCUUCUGAGAAUCUGAGCUACAUUCUACCUCUAGUCAGUGGGUCAUCCAUUCUAUGCUCUAAUGCUGUUCUAUAUGCUAAAUGAUUUGCAGACCUGGAAUUAGUUUGUACUUACAUAUUUUCACAUGAGAGCCCUAUGAACUUGUUCCUUGUUUCAAGCUCAUUUAUUAAUGGACCCAAUUCAUUUAUUAAUAUCUUUGUCUAUUUUCUCCAGAG